UGGCUCAGUUGGUAGAGCAUGGUGUUUGCAACACCAGAGUUGUGGAUUCGAUUCCCAC
rnacentral:tRNA from 1 species